UAUCUCUGCUAAUAUAUGUGGAUUCUGGUAUGCCUUCCCUUAUAUAUUGCGUUAAUACCACAAACCAUUCAUCCUAAAGAAUUAUCUUCAAUUUGAUGUUAUCAUCUGUUCCCUUUUUACGUUCUUCAUGACCAUCCGCUUCCCACUAUAUAAUCCCAACUAAAAACGUCAUCACCUUACUUGCAUCUUUCUUGUAAGUUUUCUUUGCCCUAAACAAAAUCACCCUAUUUCAACAUUUUUUUUGUUUCUUAUUCUUUUAUAGUCUCCUAUUAAUUCCUUUCCUUUAAUAGUUAAUACCCUCUCUUAUAAUCUCUCCUACUUUCCACACUUACCUUUUCCGCAUAACUAUUCUCAUAAUCAGAUCGAGGGUUUCGUUCCACCUAAAUCAAUACCUUCUAUAGAUCACAAAACCCAGUAAGUUUAUGCCUUCUCAUCACCAUUUUAUGCAAGUCUCUGUUGCGGGUUUAUGCAAUUGUUUGGAUCUUGAAUUGAGUUUUAUUUUUCCGACCUGAAUCUCAUAUUAUUGUGGUUUGGACAAUUCUACCCUCGUGUAUUUAGUCAAUAAGUCAGGAGAUAUCAAUUUCUCCAAGAAAAUGCUAACCAUGUUUCCAAGCCGAUGUAUGUGAAUGAUCAGGAUGCAAGUAGUGGAGUAAAAACAAAGAAAUUGGAGCAUUUUCUUGAAGAGACAUUCCAACAGCAAAGAUACUAAAUUGAAAUAGGACAGAAACUGAUUGAGAUACAAUCCAAGAUUGUUUAUGGCCUGUGGGUCUGUUGGUGGUCUAGAUGUUGGAUUUGGCAUGAAGAAACUUGCUGGUUGUUCAGCUCAAAGGAGACCAUGAAGGCCCUCUUUCUUGGGAUAGAAUGAUACAUCAUAGAAACAUAACUCUUUUUUGGGUGUAUUUUGUAGUUUUUGGCAUAGUGUUUUGCUUAUUUUUGUAGAGGAAAAUAGCCAAAAGUGUAUAGGAAAGCAAACAAACUUUUGUUGAGUUGCAGAAAGUAUCCCCUUUUAUCAUUAUCAGGUUAAGAUCAUAUUUUUUA